rfam:Xenopus tropicalis strain Nigerian Chr02_contig_1165, whole genome shotgun sequence.
CAGUGCAGCCACCCAUAAAGUAGAAAGCACUACUAGACAGGACUGAACGCUGUAGUGUUUCCUACUUUAUGGAUGAGUGUACUGG